GCUUCCUUGGCUCAGUUGGUAGAGCGUUGGUCUCAUAGUCUCUAUGAGUGACCCAAAUGAGGUCGCCCAAUCCAAAGGUCGCCAGUUCGAGCCUGGCAGGGAGCA
rnacentral:tRNA from 1 species